GAGAAAAUAAAACCAUAAAUUUUCUUGUUUGGUUUCCUGGAAAGUGAAGCGGCCCCGUAGAGCAGACAAAGGACAAGGCUUCAAUAUUAGACGACGCCAUCAACUAUCUUAAAUUCUUACAGUCAAAAGUUGAGGGACUGAAUGGUGAUCAGAUAUCAUCGGUGACGCCAUUUUUGAGUCAAAGAAUGGAAAUGUGCAGUGUUUGUCAAUACUGUGGUAAUCCUACGCUACAAUUCCACCCUUUUUCACCACCACCGUCCGCCGGACUUCAACAAAUGGUUCACCAUGGAGAUCUUCCAUUUCCGCCGUAUAAUACUUUUUCAGAUCCUCUACUUGGCGGUGGUACUGCUACUCCACCGCCAGUUGAAGUCUAUAACACUGUCAUGGCCAUGGAGACACUCCAGUGAUUAUAUAAUUACCUGAAUCUGAAAGGCUAGCUGUGCACCAACAAAUAAUAUUAUAUUGUUAUAUAUAGAUAGAAUAAGAGGCUCUGCCGUGUGUUUUGCACUAAAUAAAAGGUCUGAGAAAUGUGUUGUGUGUCGCAUUGAUGCUAAAAGUUGA